rnacentral:rRNA from 1 species
GACGAACGCUGGCGGCGUGCCUAAUACAUGCAAGUAGAACGCUGAAGGGAGAGCUUGCUCUUCUGGAUGAGUUGCGAACGGGUGAGUAACGCGUAGGUAACCUGCCUGGUAGCGGGGGAUAACUAUUGGAAACGAUAGCUAAUACCGCAUAACAUUGACUAUUGCAUGAUAGUCAAUUGAAAGGUGCAAAUGCACCACUACCAGAUGGACCUGCGUUGUAUUAGCUAGUUGGUGGGGUAACGGCUCACCAAGGCGACGAUACAUAGCCGACCUGAGAGGGUGAUCGGCCACACUGGGACUGAGACACGGCCCAGACUCCUACGGGAGGCAGCAGUAGGGAAUCUUCGGCAAUGGACGGAAGUCUGACCGAGCAACGCCGCGUGAGUGAAGAAGGUUUUCGGAUCGUAAAGCUCUGUUGUAAGAGAAGAACGAGUGUGAGAGUGG